UACGUAGGGUGCAAGCGUUGUCCGGAAUUAUUGGGCGUAAAGAGCUCGUAGGCGGUUUGUCGCGUCGAAUGUGAAAACCCGGGGCUCAACCCCGGGCCUGCAUUCGAUACGGGCAGACUAGAGUUCGGUAGGGGAGUCUGGAAUUCCUGGUGUAGCGGUGAAAUGCGCAGAUAUCAGGAGGAACACCGGUGGCGAAGGCGGUUCUCUGGGCAUUACCUGACGCUGAGGAGCGAAAGCGUGGGGAGCAAACAGG
rnacentral:rRNA from 1 species